AUUGAACGCUGGCGGCAGGCCUAACACAUGCAAGUCGAACGAGUGGCGGACGGGUGAGUAAUGUCUGGGAAACUGCCUGAUGGAGGGGGAUAACUACUGGAAACGGUAGCUAAUACCGCAUACCAUCAGAUGUGCCCAGAUGGGAUUAGCUAGUUGGUGGGGUAAAGGCUCACCUAGGCGACGAUCCCUAGCUGGUCGGAGAGGAUGACCAGCCACACUGGAACGGAGAUACGGUGCAGACUCCUACGGGAUGCAGCAGUGGGGAAUAGUGCACAAUGGGCGCAAGCCUGAGACAGCCAUGCCGCGUGGAUGAAGAAGGCCUUAGGGUUGUAAAGUACUGUCAGCGGGGAGGCGUUACCCGAAGAAGAAGAACAGGCUAACUCCGUGCCAGCAGACGCGGUAAUUA
rnacentral:rRNA from 1 species